AUUCAUUUAUUAUAAAAAGUAUAUUAAGCUUCCAACUUAAAGGUUUAACAAUAAAAUGAAUA
rnacentral:tRNA from 1 species